GGAACCACAGGACGUGGGAGGCUGUGGGCGGCAGCAGUCAGAGGAACCAGAAAACAGAACUGAAAUGAACCGAGGACAGUUCGGUGCCGAGCGGGAGCCUUUGGCCAUGAACCGAUUUAAUCAUACUAGAUUGUGAACAUUGCCGAGAGACAGUAGGAAACAAGAAAAUCAACUUCCAAAAUUGAAGGAGCACCUAGCCCCAUCUGCCUCACAACUAAAAGAUGGAGAGAUGAUGAUAUCAAGGACUGGCUAAUACCACCCAGUGCCUCCCUCCCACUCCAUACGCCAUCAGAACACAGAUGCAGCUCCGGGGAAAUUGAGAUGAAAU